UUGACUUAUGUGCUUUAGUCUGCCGACCC
rnacentral:sRNA from 1 species